AACGAACGCUGGCGGCAUGCCUAACACAUGCAAGUCGAACGAACCCUUCGGGGUUAGUGGCGCACGGGUGCGUAACGCGUGGGAAUCUGCCCUUUGCUUCGGAAUAACAGUUAGAAAUGACUGCUAAUACCGGAUGAUGUCUUCGGACCAAAGAUUUAUCGGCAAGGGAUGAGCCCGCGUAGGAUUAGGUAGUUGGUGGGGUAAAGGCCUACCAAGCCGACGAUCCUUAGCUGGUCUGAGAGGAUGAUCAGCCACACUGGGACUGAGACACGGCCCAGACUCCUACGGGAGGCAGCAGUGGGGAAUAUUGGACAAUGGGCGCAAGCCUGAUCCAGCAAUGCCGCGUGAGUGAUGAAGGCCUUCGGGUCGUAAAGCUCUUUUACCAGGGAUGAUAAUGACAGUACCUGGAGAAUAAGCUCCGGCUAACUCCGUGCCAGCAGCCGCCGUAAGAC
rnacentral:rRNA from 1 species